rnacentral:misc_RNA from 1 species
UCCGGUUUGUCACCGGCAGUCCCAUUAGAGUGCUCAACUGAAUGUAGCAACUAAUGGCAAGGGUUGCUACCUCGUUGGGCUUUCACCCUCCUACUACGUGCAUGUCCAGCCUAGGUAAGGUUCUUCGCGUUGCGUCGAAUUAAACCACAUGCUCCACCGCUUGUGCGGGCCCCCGUCAAUUCCUUUGAGUUUCAACCUUGCGGCCGUACUUCCCAGGCGGGAUACUUACUGCGUUAGCUGCGGCACCGGCGGUAACCCGCCGACACUUAGUAUCCAUCGUUUAAGGCGUGGACUAC